rnacentral:ribozyme from 1 species
GAGAGAGAGAGAGAGAGAGAGAGAAUGAAAAGAUAGGUUUGUUUGUUUUCUUGUUUUGUUUUUUGUUUGUU